CUUCACCUUCAACAUAUAGCUAUCUACACAAAUGACACUCUCUUGUAGGCUCAUCUUCUUCUUAAUGCUUUUUUCAAUUAUCUAUAUACAAUCGGAGGCUGCAGUUAGCCGAGUUCCAGCUCUCAAUCAAGUCGGAAGCCCGGCUGAACAUCCUUUGAAAAGAACUUCAUGUCCGACAUGUGUUCCUACAGGAGAAUGUUGUUGGUGGAUAUUUUGUUGUCAAGAAGCUGCGAAUAAAGAAGUUGUCACCCCUUUGAACCAUCUUGAUAUAAAAAACUAGAUUAAAUCAGUUCCAUGUGCAUCUAAUAUGAGCGGUUGAAUUAAUAUUGUAAUGUCUAGAAAUAAAUGACAACUUUAAAUUCAUAUCAAAA